UACGAAGGUGGCUAGCGUUGUUCGGAAUCACUGGGCGUAAAGCGCACGUAGGCGGACUUGUUAGUCAGGGGUGAAAUCCCGGGGCUCAACCCCGGAACUGCCUUUGAUACUGCAAGUCUUGAGUCCGGGAGAGGUGAGUGGAAUUCCUAGUGUAGAGGUGAAAUUCGUAGAUAUUAGGAAGAACACCAGUGGUGAAGGCGGCUCACUGGCUCGGUACUGACGCUGAGGUACGAAAGCGUGGGGAGCAAACAGG
rnacentral:rRNA from 1 species